GAUUAUUCACAUUGUACUUGCUUAUCCAUAAAACUCAUCAUCACCCCCACUAGCCAUAAAUUUUGAAUGGUCCCUAGGGUACCCUUGAAUUGGGCUUAAAUUGGGUUGGGAAAUUGAGUUGCCAGCACGACAGCAUGAAUUUGGGAAGUUAUCUGAUUGUUGAGAGUACCAUUGGUUAUUAUACAACUGUUGCAGGUGUGCGGACGUAAAGGAAAGUAAAUGAAGACCACAUGAAGAUGGUCAGCAGCAUUCUCACAAGUAACAAGCCAAAAACAGAGGAAGUACGAUGCAAAGCGGAACACAAUGCUUCAACUCCAGAAAUUAUUCAAGUGACCCUGUGGAGAAUCGAAAGGUGGAAGGAGGUCCCGCCGCUUCCAAUUUAUUAAUUGCAGUGUGCAGAUAUUGUAAAAAAUAAAUAAAAAUAUUUUAAUGGUUC